GACGAACGCUUGCGGCGUGCCUAAGAAAUGCAAGUCGAACGGAUCAGGCAGCAAUGUCUGGUUAGUGGCGAACGGUCGCGUAACACGUAGGCAACCUGCCCAAAAGUGGGGGACAACAGCUUGAAAGAGCUGCUAAUACCGCAUGUGGCCCGAGAGUGGCAUCACUCUUGGUCUAAAGCUUUAUGCGCUUUUGGAUGGGCUUGCGGCCUAUCAGGUAGNGGUGGGGUAAUGGCCUACCAAGCCGACGACGGGUAGCUGGUCUGAGAGGACGAUCAGCCGGAUUGGGACUGAGAUACGGCCCAGACUCCGUACGGGGGCAGCAAUUAGGAAUCUUGCGCAAUGGGGGCAACCUGACGCAGCGACGCCGCGUGCGGGAUGAAGGC
rnacentral:rRNA from 1 species